ACCAGGGCGUCAGUUUGGUAGGCGGGAUUUAGAGGUCCUACGGCGAGCAUCUGGGAUCACACUUCGUGAAAAUUCUCGGACGCGCCGGCGGAAAAUCAAAAUACUAUCGCCCUACAAGCGUUGGACAGUAGCCAACUUUUGAGGAAACGUUGAAACGCGCUAUUACGGUGAAGGAAAAUGCUCCAUCUAGGCCAUUUCUCCCAGUAUCGGGCUGCGGGGACUGGCGCUGGUUUCUGAAGGUCUGAGGCGGAGAAACCCUCACCAGCUGCCGGGCGUCACGAAGCCUGGCUCUCCCUGCCUCCCAGAUCCUCUGCAUGAAGGACCCUCGCUGAUCUCUGCCUGGGCUCGUGGUCACCUAGGAGUCUCCUAGUUGCUCUCCCUGCCGCCAGGCUUGUCCAUCCAGAUCUAAAAAUCAGGUUAUCUUUUGGUUACUUCCCAUGUCCUUCCCCACCCCCACUCCUAGUUAUUUCCUCUGGUUUAAGGCUUAACUCCUGAGCCUGCAAGCCAAGAAUCUGCCUUAACUAGCUGCUCCAGCCUCUUUUCUGUGGGUGAACACACACACACACUUUUCCACUUUCCACCUCCAUCCCACCCUGUUCUGUUUUUUGAUUCUGGGCCUGGCCAUUGCUCACACCGUUAUUAAGAAAGCGUUCUCAUUUAACCUUCACUCCAUCCCUCAGUGGCAGUGUUGAGAGUCCUCAGCCCC